CUUGCACCUCGUUCCCGCCUUCGAGUCCACAGGCAGAAGAGCGACAGUGAGCAAGGACGUUCAGACCGACAGCAGGUUCUUGGGGACAGCAGUAAGUGACACGCAGACAACAAGCCUGGGAUGGCAGCUGCCUCCGUGGGGCCGUCAGGGAGGCCUCUAGGAGGAGGGGACAUCUGAGCAGGUCCCUUGGUGGGGACAGGCAGCCAGGGCAGAGAGCUGGGUGGGAGGGCCGCAAGCCUGGCUGGCCUCCAGGUGCAGAGGCCCAGGAGGACCCAGGGAGGGAGGGCACCGGCUGCAGGGGCUGCAGUGGGCAGGCAGGCGGGCGGCCAGGUGUGCAGACCAGGCGGAGCCCUUGUUAGGGAAGGGUUCUGGACUGGAUUGUGGGUGGAAGGGGCCCAGGACGGGGAGACAGGCGGGCGUGACCUGCCGUGUUUGUGAAGCCCACUGCAGCAGCACGGCCUCUGGGUCCACUCCGCUCCGGCCAGACAGGAAGCCGGCUGGACAAGGGCCGACAGCAGUGGACGGGGUUCUGGGAGGGAGCUAAUGUGGGCUGCUGAUAGGAAAGAGUGACAGGUGGCCGGAAGGGGGGGACUGGGGACUGGGACUCGGGGCUGGGUGCCCCAGGGCACACCCACCAUCCCAGCUGCGUGGGAGCAUCGCAGGUUCAAGGCCAGCCUGGGUGACGUCACCCGACCCUGUCUCAAUCAAAACAAGAACUGGGGGUUUGAGCACAAAAAGUAAAGACUCUGUGUCCCCAUCAGAGUGGACGCUGUGAAGGAGUGGCCACGGGGAGGGAAGGGAGGAGGGAGGGACGUGGGAUAAUGGGACCCCCAAAUCGAGUUCUAGAGCUCUGGAGUCCGGCAGGGGGGCUACCGUAAGGGGACGGAAAUCCUCGUCACCUUGAUUAUCUGGCUAUACCCUGUACAGGUCCCAAGUGAUCGCACCAGACCCUAUAGACAGGUACCAUUUUAAAAAUCAAAAUAAGGAUUAACCCCCCUCCCCAAUAAAGAAUGACUCUGUUCUACUUUGAUGCCGAGUGCAGAUUCAAAGAACUCUUCUUGUUUUUGUAUCAGAGAUUGAACUCAGGGGCACUUGACCCCUAAGCCACACCCCAGCCCUGUUUUGUGUUUUAUUUAGAGACAGAGCCUCACCAUUGCUGAGGCUGGCCUUGAACUCUCGAUCCUCCUGCCUCAGCCUCCUGAGCUGCUGGGAUUAUAGGCGUGCGCCACCGUGUCCAGCAAAAGGAACUCUUGAGGUUGGUUUUAGGCCCAUGAGUUUCUUGAUAACUGUAACUUUUUUCAGUAGAUCUGCAACACUGAGAAGUCCCUUGCCUGAGUUCUUACAAGGCUGUCACCUUUCCUUAAUGCUUUGUCCCCGUUGAUAUAAAAAUCCGAUGGCCAAAUGAAUAGUUUAUAUGUUGAAACUAAGUAUUGCUUCCUAUCACCCGGCCGAUGCUCUCUGCUUGAACGUCCUGUUCCAAUUUGACCCACGGAAGAAAUAGGAGCUUCCCGGAGAACCAUGAUUCAUUAUCCGACACAACUGCAUACGGCUUUCAUUUUAGGAACACAGACUAAAGUAACCUUGUGGAGAGCAGAGAAACUUGUGGAAUUACGUGGCUACGGUUCACUUGUCUGCCGUCACAUGGGAAAUCCUGUGGCCCUUAUUUCCCCAGUAGCGGGAGUUGUAAGGGACGUGGGUCUUCCUGGCCUGCUGGUCUCUGCCAGGGUUCCCAGAGCAGGUCUCCACGGAGCCCCCCGGGGGCGAGGAGCAGGCUGUGGGAAGGCCUCGGCCGCACCCCUCACUUCCCCAGAGCUGUUCCACUUUUAUCUGCUUUGGGUUUUGAGGCUCUGGGCUAGCCUUCCUUGUAAUAAUAGAGCCUGUCCCUCAAAAACAUUUUUAGAGUCCUGAUGACGCCAUGGUCUAGGUCACUGUCUUUGAAGAGGACAGUCGCGGGCUCUGUGCAUUAUCGCCUGAGACGCUCGGAAAACUACAGGCUCCUGUGUCCCACCCACAAUUCCACUGCCCCAGAUGCUUUGGAGUCUGUAGUUUUCCCAUAUAAAAUACUCAGUUCAAGUCAAAUUUUUCCAGUUGUCUCAAAAAUGUUCUUUUAUGCUGUUUUACCUAAAUCCGGGUCCCAACAAGGUGACAUGUUCCUUAGGGCUGUUUUGUCUCUUAAGUCUUCUCACCUUAAACUGUUCUCCCUUUUUUUUUUUCUUUAAUGACAUCGUGCUGUGGUCUGAACGCCUGUGUCCCCACCCCCAGGUGUCGGCAUCAGGAGGAGGCAGGCCUUAGAGAGGUGGUCAGGUCACGAGGCAGGAGCCCUCGUGAAUGGGAUUAGUGCCCUUCUACAUGAGGGCCAAGAGACCCCUCACCUCCUCCACUGUGCGAGGACACAGUGAGGGGACAGCCGUCAUGAACCAGGAUGUGCGUCCUCACCAGACGUCAAAUCAGCCGGUGCCUACUUAUCAAACUUCCGGAACUGUGAGCGAUAACUUUGUAAGCUACCCAGCCUCUGGUAUUUUGUUAUAGUCCAAGCAGGCCAGACGGACACUUGUGGAUGAGGACAGCCAGCCACCCCACAGGAGGCCACCUCCCUCCUGCCUGGGGAUUUGCUUCCUCUUGACAUCAGUUCCCUGAAACCCUGCAUUUCCCGUCAACUAGAAGCUAACUGUGAGGAGUUGAUCAGAUGCUGUGCCAACGCUCUUGGCAAGAAAAGUUCCCAGAGGUGAUGAGUUCCUCUGACUCUAUCAUGUCAUGUAGGAUUUCUAUUGUUUUAAAGCAAAACAAUGGAGUAAGACAGGAAGAAAACCUAGCCCCAUUCAGGGAAGAGGAGCUUGGUCAGAUUCCAGUUGGUCUGGAAUUUAUUAUCCAUUACUGUAGUUCCAGAAACCCGACCAGUUGGAGACCCCCUUGGGGUGAAUACAUCCUCCUUUACAAAAGGCAAAGACUUCUCGGAACCUUGGGACUCUGGCAACCACUCACACCUUAGUGUGAACAAGCCCCGUCACCUCCUUUUCUUCCUAGGUACCUAAUUAAAAUGAGCAUAUCUGAGGAGAGGUCCUGGUGGUCCUCUGUGGCGUGCCACAAGGAAGACAAUACCAGGCAGCAUGAGAGCCCGGGGUCUGGAGAACGGGCCUUGGUAGUGACAGGCUCGGGUGACUGCAAGAGAGACCAGAUCACGUGGGGUCUGGCAGCAGGAAGAAGGACGGUAGAUGGUGGCUGGGAGUGGGACCAGUCCCAGUGAUGGGCUCUCAGGGCAGAAGAGAGUCCCAGACCCUCUUAGAGAGGCCUCCCCCGAGAACAAGGCACACACAACGUGAGCAUUCGCUGCACACUUGGAAAUAAGGGAAAGGAAACGUGAGCCUCUAAUCAAACCACCUGCUGAAGUCCCUGAAAUUUGAUCUUGGCAUGGUUCGCUAAGGACAGCGAAGGCGACAUCCUUGUCCCGCUCCUUCCUUCUUCCCACCUACAGAUCCCUCCCAGCAGUGGUAGAGCUCAUCUAUGGGCGGGUCCUCUGUGGGCCAGCCUGGCCCUAACAACCAUGGGCAAUGUUAUUUUUUUGAAAUAAUGGAUUCCAAGUUCCUGCGUAUAAGUGUUGGCUGAUCCUGAGUCCUCCCUGUGGAAAUGGGCAAGAAGGGAUUUUGCGUGGUCAUUCCACCAUCUGCAAGGUGCAGUUUGAGGAAUCGGGGACAUGACGGUCAACCAGACAGACGAGGUCCUUCUCUUAGUGGGAGAAGUAAAAGGAAGAUGGCGGCCAAGAUGUCAAACCAGACGUACAUCUGAGCACUUCUGGGAUGGACCUGUGAGUUCAAGAUGGUCUGCUUCCUAUUCUAGGACAUUCUUACGUCCCCAUCGACCUUCUCCCCACCUGCUAAGUUCGGGUCCCUCCCAAGGUUCCGUGAUUCCCUUGUAUUCUUCUUCAAGAUGUUUUGGUGAGAAACUGGGUGGCUUCUGAGCCCACCCACAAGCUCACGCUCUGGAGCCAUGGACCAGCCUGCAGGGAAACGUCCUAAAGCCCGCGGAGUCCACCGUCUCAUUAGGUGACAAGAGUGACAUUCAGAGAGGGUUGGUGGCUUGGCCGAGACAACCCUGUUAGUGUAAGGGCUGGACGUAAAUCCAUGGUGACUGCUUCCAAACACCACGUCCUUCUGAGACACUCACACGUCCCCUCCAAGUCCAUUUUACAGAUAAGGAAACUGAGGUUCAUCUGCCCAUGCAUGGCCCUAAGCUGCUCGGCGUCUUUAUGGUAGAGCGUGGGCCCAGCUGAAUUUCCAGUGCCACUUUUUUGUGGCGUGAUUUUUGGUCGGUAAUUGUGGGCUCCAGGUGCUGCUCAAGUUGAAGUCGCUCACCCUGGGCCUCCUGGUGUCCGGCCCAAGACUCGCUACCCUUCUCCGUGAAGGUGCCAUGAUGACUGCCUGAGGAGGCUGCCUUCCAGGGUGCAGGCUCCAGGGACCCACCCUGUCCUCCAGCGACAUGGCACCAGGGACGGGGACAUCUACACUCCAAGAAGAGGACGCUGGGUGGGGGUCCAGUGCCAGCCCUGUCUGUCUCCCCCUCCACGAACACCUUCAGGGGUUCCACGUUGCCAACCAAAUGACGGCAAGCCCCUCACCCUGGUGUCCAAGGCUGCCCGGGGAUGGCCGCACCUGUCCUCCCCGCCGUGCCCCUGGGUCUGGUCAGGCGGCGGUACUCUGCACCUUCUGUCCCUCCUCCCGCUACUCCCUGCCCACAAUUCUCCAUCACCUCUCCUCUGCAGGAUUUCCAUCCCUCCAAGUGAAGUUCGGGUUCAACAUCCCCGGAGGUGCCUUCCGUGACCGUUCCGGCUGGACAAGACCUCUUCCUCGACCUCCUGGCAUUGGUCAGGGACAUUUUUGAUAACAAGCCACAGAAAUUCAGCUCAUAGCGUCAACACCUAAAGGGGAAUGAUCGACCCAUGUCAUUGGGCAACCCGGGCAUGGACCAGGUCACCUGACCCGUCCAUGGUCUCUCAUGGUCCCUCACCCUUCCCUACUGUGGAUGGAGUGCACUGCGGUGGGAGGGCGAGGAAGGGGAGAAGGAAGUCAGUCAAGUUUGGCUGCAGCCUGGUGCAAACCCAGCUUCAUGGGCAUCUGCCCUGGUGGGAGGGAUGAACCUGCCUGGUGUGGCAUGGUGUGUGCCCUCCCAGAGCCGUCGCUGAGCCAGGAGAAGGGGGCACUGUUCUUGGUCAGCAGGCGUCAUGAAAUGACCUCAUGGGCGGGAAACAUGGGCUGUGAUUGGCACCUGGCCAGUGAUGUGGUGGUGAUGGGGGAGCAGCCAAGGAAGGGGAGUGUGGCAGACGAAAGCAAGUGUCUGUCCUGCUACUCGAUCUUGUGACGUGCGUGUUUUGUGUCUGUAACUCUCUUUGCACGAGACCAUGAGCAUCUGACUCACUGGACUUGACUUCCCUGGGGACAAGGGACUGUCUCAUUUCUAUCUGCAGCCCCCACCUGGCAUGGGGUCUGGCCAGCCUUUCUAGUUGUGCAUAGAAUCAUUUUCCUCUGGCAUUGACCUUCCAAAUUACUCCUGGGGGGGAGAAGAGAGAUCGGGGAGAAGCGAGUUCUUCACCCGGUCCCUGGAGUUCUGAGAUCCCUCCCGAGGACAGAGAACCAUCAGGACACUGUGUCUUCCUACACCUGCCUUUAUUUGUUUCCCAUAUAUUGAGAUUUCUUGUAGAAAAUAACCCAAAGAAUGUUUUCUGUAGCUUUUAAGAGUUAGAAUACCCCUGGGCUAGGGGAGGGAGCCCCACAACCAUGGGUUCUUUGAGCAGUUUGUCAUUCAAGGGAGCCAUGGUCAAAUGAGUUAGGGACAUUUUGCUGGCUCCAGCCCCUUCUAGGAGAUGAAGAAGGUACUCGAGCCUUUUAAAUGCUCUGAGAAGUCCUGUGGACAACACCUGCUUGAAGAUGUUUGACUCCCUGAUUCCCAAAAUGGCUCCACCAUAAAUCUUUUUGCUAUUAAGUACGAUUAACACCCUGAAGAACCAAUGUUCCGAGGGGCCCAGACUGUAAACCCCUAGACAGGGACCGCUGGCCCCUUCCAGCCCUGUUGGUAUUGGAACUACAUGGAAAAUGGCUGAGGGACAGGGUUAGGCCCCAGGCAGGAGGACUGCAAUCACGGAGCAGGUGACUUUUCUACAGUGGGUCCCAGACACUCAACCUGCUGUGGAAGGUGUGAAUUGGGCUGAUUUUUUAUUUUAUUCUAUUUUAUUUGUCAGGGAUUAAACCCAGAGGUGCUUAUCCCCUGAGCCCAAUCCCCAGCCCUUUUUGUGUCUUAUUGAGAGACAGGGUCUCACUGAGUUGCUUAGCACCUCGCUUUUGCUGAGGCUGGCUUUGAACUCUCAGUCCUCCUGCCUCAGCCUCCUGAGCUGCUGGGAUGACAGGUGUGCGCCACCAGCAGUGCCCGAUUUUUUACAUCAUAUUAGCAACAGGUGUCUAAAAUCCUAAAACGGUGUGCAUCCUUUGCCCGCCCGGCAGUGCUAUUUCUAAACUUUAUCUGAAGGAAAUUGUGACACAGAUACCCAGAAAGAAUGGACAGAGACAUUCCUCAAGUCUUGAUCAUUAUCCUGAAAACUGAAAACCAUCUUGGUCUGAAAAAAAAAAAUGGGGGGGGCACCCCUGCCAUGGAAGUGAGGGUCCAUUAACUACAACAUGGUAUAGCGAGGGAGACUGGGGACGCAGACUGGGCAGGAAGCAGGCCACACAAUAGGACCUAGAGCUUUGGAAGUAGAGUCGAUUCCAUUUUUAUUCCCAGAAGAUCUCUGUUAGGGCUCCCCAGAGGAGUCAGGCCGAAUGACCGCUUUGCAACUUUUAAUUCAAUUGUAAGUUGAUACUUUUGCGAAACAUAAUAAAAAUGUGGAGACCAGGUCAAAUUGCUGCAGAACCCUCUAAUGCUGCUGGGCUUGGUGGUGCCCAC
rnacentral:lncRNA from 1 species